rnacentral:lncRNA from 1 species
GGGUAUGAACAUAGGAUCUUUUGGUGUAUUUGGAAUAAAUGGUUUAUCAAAUAGCCUGUUUAGGUUCAUAUUUGUGUUUUUCCUAACUACUUUGCUUGUACCUGCAGAAGUAGAUUGAUAAAUGUUAUAGGUUUUAUGGAGUAUCCCAACGUCUCCUUCUAGCUAUGGAUUUUAAUGUCUUCCAAUCGACAUAGCUCUGCACACUGCUGAGUUAACUGAUUUGUAGCUAUAGAUUUCAGUUUAACUUCAUUAGUCUUUAGCUUUUCUAUUUCAUUACCCAUACUGUCCACUUUCAUUGAAAGCGUAGUUAGGGUGUUGAAUAUCUUUUCUAGAGUAUCCUCUUCUAUUAUAUCAGUCUGUGUAGCUUUGUCUUGAUAUGUAAUCUGCAAUAACAUUUUUGUUAGUACUAAUUACUUCAAUUAUAAAUGUGAAAUUUAAUAUAUUCAAGACUAGUCUCUGAAUCUCUUUUAUUGUAACUGAAUUUUGUAUUUUCUUUGUUAACCACCAACGUAC